GUGUUUGGUGUACAAAGGAAUAAAAUAUCAUCACACGCUACGUCAGCAGCCUUGGGGGAAAGCUGGUCAACCAGGUAACCGAGACAUUGCGACAGAUCGCAAAUUCUUCCCAGAAACAUGGCUAUGGCAGUAGUCUGAAGUGGGGGAGUCUGGAUCAGUACAGCUUCCUGUCACUGUUCCUGAUACCAUCACCACCUGGGAGACCGAGGCUUUCUGCGUGUCCUCUAAAGGUCUUGGUCUCGCUCCUCCUGUUCAGCUCACUGUGUUUCAGCCCUUCUUCCUGGAGCUCUCGUUGCCUUACUCCAUUAUACGUGGAGAGGUUUUUGAGCUCAAGGCCAUUGUCUUCAAUUAUCUUUCCAAAUGCAUUAUGGUUAAAGUGACUCCGGUCCCUUCCUCAGACUACACUCUGGAACCAUGUACUGAUGGCGACAAUUCAU